rnacentral:rRNA from 1 species
AAUCAACGCUGGCGGCGUGCCUCAGACAUGCAAGUCGAACGAUUAAACUUUCCUUCGGGAAAGAUAUAAAGUGGCGCACGGGUGAGUAACACGUAAGUAAUCUACCUUCGGAUGGGGAAUAACAGUCGGAAACGACUGCUAAUACCGCAUAAUGCAGCGGCACCUAAUGGUGACAGUUGUUAAAGUAUUUAUACGUCUGGAGAGGAGCUUGCGGCAGAUUAGCUAGUUGGUAAGGAAUGGCUUACCAAGGCUACGAUCUGUAGCCGACCUGAGAGGGUGGUCGGUCACACUGACACUGAAUAACGGGUCAGACUCCUACGGGAGGCAGCAGUCGGGAAUUUUGGCAAUGGGCGAAAGCCUGACCCAGCAACGCCGCGUGAAGGAUGAAGUCUUUCGG